CCUACGGGUGGCAGCAGUGAGGAAUAUUGGUCAAUGGACGAAGGGCUGAACCAGCCAAGUAGCGUGAAGGAUGACUGCCCUAUGGAUUGUAAACUUCUUUUGUCAGGGAGUAAAAUGCUCCACGUGUGGGAUUUUGUAUGUACCUUAAGAAUAAGCAUCGGCUAACUCCGUGCCAGCAGCCGCGGUAAUACGGAGGAUGCGAGCGUUAUCCGGAUUCAUUGGGUUUAAAGGGUGCGUAGGUUGUUUUAUAAGUUAGCGGUGAAAUACCGGUGCUCAACAUCGGGGGUGCCGAUAAUACUGUAGGACUAGAGAUAGGAUGCAGUAGGCGGAAUGUGUAGUGUAGCGGUGAAAUGCAUAGAUAUUACACAGAACACCGAUUGCGAAGGCAGCUUGCUAGGCCGGAUCUGACGCUGAUGCACGAAAGCGUGGGGAUCGAACAGGAUUAGAUACCCUUGUAGUC
rnacentral:rRNA from 1 species